rnacentral:rRNA from 1 species
AGUGAACGCUGGCGGUAGGCCUAACACAUGCAAGUCGAACGACAGCACAGUAAGAGCUUGCUCUUACGGGUGGCGAGUGGCGGACGGGUGAGGAAUACAUCGGAAUCUACUUUUUCGUGGGGGAUAACGUAGGGAAACUUACGCUAAUACCGCAUACGACCUACGGGUGAAAGCAGGGGAUCUUCGGACCUUGCGCGAUUGAAUGAGCCGAUGUCGGAUUAGCUAGGUGGCGGGGUAAAGGCCCACCAAGGCGACGAUCCGUAGCUGGUCUGAGAGGAUGAUCAGCCACACUGGAACUGAGACACGGUCCAGACUCCUACGGGAGGCAGCAGUGGGGAAUAUUGGACAAUGGGCGCAAGCCUGAUCCAGCCAUACCGCGUGGGUGAAGAAGGCCUUCGGGUUGUAAAGCCCUUUUGUUGGGAAAGAAAAGCAGCAGGUUAAUACCCCGCUGUUCUGACGGUACCCAAAGAAUAAGCACCGGCUAACUUCGUG